UUGGGUUUCAUGUAGAACCCUUUCCAUAGAGUGUUAUACAUGGAACCCAAAGGGGUUCUACAUGGAACCAAAAAGGGUUAUCCUAUGGGGACAGCCGAAAAACCCUUUUGGAACCCUUUUUUUCCUCAGAGUGUUGUGUAAGUAGAUACAAUUGAAGUAGCAAUAAUAUACAUUUGUAAAGCAAAUCGAAUCCUAUUUUAACUCACCUUUUUUUCAGGUGCACAACCCAUGAGUCCUGAUUCAACACAAACUCACACGUUUGCAGAGAAGAGGAAGAGAUUUGGAAUUACACCCAUUUCUAACUAUAUUUGUUGUAAGAAUGAUAUGACACACACAACUUAUUGGUUUCUAUUGCCUCCUACACAUACUUACAUUGUUGUAUUUAGCUUUCUUUGUUUAAGACUAGCAAGCUGUCCUCAAUGGGGGGAACCUCUGUCCGGAACAAUGUCCACAGGAUUUUGGAGCGGUGUGUUAUAUAAGAAGUUGUUUGAAUAUUACAACAUGAAUUCAGAUUAAGCAAAACUUUACUAUUUAGAGAUGAGUUAAAAAUGGUAAUUAUCCAACUACUAAUUUUGAUAUCCUCUUUCUUUAAAAUGUUUCAGAUUGUUGACCAAUGGAUUAAUGUCUCACUUCAAUAUGAAGGGACAGAAGAGCAAACAUGCCUUUGCCUUACUUAUAGUAGAUUCUGACAGUAAAAAUAUAUUUUACUGUGCAUUACUGUUCUGUCGUGUCCUGCAUGCCCACAUUAUGCCAGUCAUUCAUUUAUUUUCUUCUCUUUCUAUGCAUACAGUAAGUGUCCGCAAACUCAAGAGGUUAUUGUGUUGUAGGCCCUCUGGAAAGUCUUAAAAUAUGCCCGUGACCACCCUGGUGGAGGAGGAGGCAAAAUCUGACCCAUCACAUGACUCUUGAAGAGGGCCAUUAGGCUCCAGAUCUCCUUCUGUGUUCAGAGCUCCUUGAUGAGGAUCUACCCCAUCACACCACUCUGAUUAAUCAUAAAUCAAAUAAAACAAUGGGCCUUUA